GUCCUUGUAGCUUAUAAACAAAGCAUGACGCUGAAGAUGUCAAGAAGGAAGCCCACACCCCCGAGGACA
rnacentral:tRNA from 1 species